rnacentral:rRNA from 1 species
UCUUCCCUCUGGCGGCGUGCCUAAUACAUGCAAGUCGAGCGAACAGACGAGGAGCUUGCUCCUCUGACGUUAGCGGCGGACGGGUGAGUAACACGUGGAUAACCUACCUAUAAGACUGGGAUAACUUCGGGAAACCGGAGCUAAUACCGGAUAAUAUAUUGAACCGCAUGGUUCAAUAGUGAAAGACGGUUUUGCUGUCACUUAUAGAUGGAUCCGCGCCGCAUUAGCUAGUUGGUAAGGUAACGGCUUACCAAGGCAACGAUGCGUAGCCGACCUGAGAGGGUGAUCGGCCACACUGGAGCUGAGACGCGGUCCAGACUCCUACGGGAGGCAGCAGUAGGGAAUCUGCCGCAAUGGGCGAAAGCCUGACGGAGCAACGCCGCGUGAGUGAUGAAGGUCUUCGGAUCGUAAAACUCUGUUAUUAGGGAAGAACAAAUGUGUAAGUAACUAUGCACGUCUUGACGGUACCUAAUCAGAAAGCCACGGCUAACUACGUG